rnacentral:rRNA from 1 species
GACGAACGCUGGCGGCGUGCUUAACACAUGCAAGUCGAACGGAAAGGCCCUGCUUUUGUGGGGUGCUCGAGUGGCGAACGGGUGAGUAACACGUGAGUAACCUGCCCUUGACUUUGGGAUAACUUCAGGAAACUGGGGCUAAUACCGGAUAGGAGCUCCUGCUGCAUGGUGGGGGUUGGAAAGUUUCGGCGGUUGGGGAUGGACUCGCGGCUUAUCAGCUUGUUGGUGGGGUAGUGGCUUACCAAGGCUUUGACGGGUAGCCGGCCUGAGAGGGUGACCGGCCACAUUGGGACUGAGAUACGGCCCAGACUCCUACGGGAGGCAGAAGUGGGGAAUAUUGCACAAUGGGCGGAAGCCUUAUGCAGCAACGCCGCGUGCGGGAUGACGGCCUUCGGGUUGUAAACCGCUUUCGCCUGUGACGAAGCGUGAGUGACGGUAAUGGGUAAAGAAGCACCGGCUAACUACGUG